UACAGAGGGUGCGAGCGUUAAUCGGAAUCACUGGGCGUAAAGGGCGCGUAGGCGGUUUGGACAGUCAGGCGUGAAAUUCCCGGGCUUAACCUGGGGGCUGCGCUUGAUACAUCCAGACUUGAGUGGGGAAGAGGGUCGUGGAAUUCCCAGUGUAGAGGUGAAAUUCGUAGAUAUUGGGAAGAACACCGGUGGCGAAGGCGGCGACCUGGUCCUUUACUGACGCUGAGGCGCGAAAGCGUGGGGAGCAAACAGG
rnacentral:rRNA from 1 species